rnacentral:rRNA from 1 species
UACGUAGGUGGCAAGCGUUGUCCGGAAUUAUUGGGCGUAAAGCGCGCGCAGGCGGUCCUUUAAGUCUGAUGUGAAAGCCCACGGCUCAACCGUGGAGGGUCAUUGGAAACUGGGGGACUUGAGUACAGAAGAGAAGAGUGGAUUUCCACGUGUAGCGGUGAAAUGCGUAGAGAUGUGGAGGAACACCAGUGGCGAAGGCGACUCUUUGGUCUGUAACUGACGCUGAGGCGCGAAAGCGUGGGGAGCAAACAGG